rnacentral:lncRNA from 1 species
UGGGGCCAAUAAGGAAAAGCUUGAAGCCACCAUCAAUGAAUUAGUCUAAUCAUGUUUUCUGAAAACAUAACCAGCCAUUGACUAUUUAAAACUUAAUUUUUUUAAUUUACAAAAAAUAUAAAGUAUGAAGAUUAUAAACCUAAUUGCCAUCUGGGUGACAAUAAAACAUGAAUUCUAACAACAACAACAAAAAAAAUUAACAUUCAUACUCCGUUAUUUGUAUAAGGAAAAGACGAGCCCCACACUAGUAAACAAGGUGUUUUCAUCUAGGUUUCCCCAAAAUACAAGGAC